ACAGAGGUGGCAAGCGUUGUUCGGAUUUACUGGGCGUAAAGGGUGCGUAGGUGGCUUUGUGUGUCGGGCGUGAAAUCCCACUGCUCAACGGUGGAACGCCGCCCGAAACUGCAGGGCUGGAGUGCAGGAGAGGAGAGCGGAAUUCUUGGUGUAGCGGUGGAAUGCGUUGAUAUCAAGAAGAACACCAGUGGCGUAGGCGGCUCUCUGGAAUGCAACUGACACUGAGGCACGAAAGCGUGGGGAGCAAACAG
rnacentral:rRNA from 1 species